UACGUAGGGUGCAAGCGUUGUCCGGAAUUAUUGGGCGUAAAGAGCUCGUAGGCGGUUUGUCGCGUCGAAUGUGAAAACCCGGGGCUCAACCCCGGGCCUGCAUUCGAUACGGGCAUACUAGAGUUCGGUAGGGGAGUCUGGAAUUCCUGGUGUAGCGGUGAAAUGCGCAGAUAUCAGGAGGAACACCGGUGGCGAAGGCGGGACUCUGGGCCGAUACUGACGCUGAGGAGCGAAAGCGUGGGGAGCAAACAGG
rnacentral:rRNA from 1 species